GAUGAAGAACGUAGCGAAAUGCGAUAAGUAAUGUGAAUUGCAGAAUUCAGUGAAUCAUCGAAUCUUUGAACGCACAUUGCGCCCGCCAGUAUUCUGGCGGGCAUGCCUGUUCGAGCGUCAUUUCAACCCUCAAGACCCCUUCGGGGGACUUGGUGUUGGGGACCGGCACAGGGGCCUGCCUGCUUGUCUUGCAGCGCCCUCGCCGCCCCCGAAAUGAAUUGGCGGCCUCGUCGCGGCCUCCCCUGCGCAGUAGCACAACCUCGCAACGGGAACGUGACGGCGGCCACUGCCGUAAAACAACCCCAAUUUUAUUAGAGUUGACCUCGAAUCAGGUAGGAAUACCCGCUGAACUUAAGCAUAUCAAUAAGCGGAGGA
rnacentral:misc_RNA from 1 species